CAGCAGCCGCGGGAAUACAGAGGCCUCAAGCGUUGUUCGGAUUCAUUGGGCGUAAAGGGAGCGUAGGCGGUCGGGUAAGUUGGAUGUGAAAUCCUGGGGCUCAACCUCAGAACUGCAUUCAAUACUGCUUGGCUAGAGUAUUGGAGAGGUGAGUGGAAUUCACGGUGUAGCAGUGAAAUGCGUAGAUAUCGUGAGGAAGACCAGCGGCGAAGGCGGCUCACUGGACAAUUACUGACGCUGAUGCUCGAAGGCCAGGGGAGCAAACGGGAUUAGAUACCCCGGUAGUCCCUGUCUCUUAUAC
rnacentral:rRNA from 1 species